UGAGGAAUAUUGGACAAUGGGCGCAAGCCUGAUCCAGCAAUGCCGCGUGCAGGAUGAAGGCCUUCGGGUUGUAAACUGCUUUUGUACGGAGCGAAAAGGUCUGCCCUAAUACGGUGGGCUCAUGACGGUACCGUAAGAAUAAGCACCGGCUAACUACGUGCCAGCAGCCGCGGUAAUACGUAGGGUGCGAGCGUUAAUCGGAAUUACUGGGCGUAAAGCGUGCGCAGGCGGUUAUAUAAGACAGAUGUGAAAUCCCCGGGCUCAACCUGGGACCUGCAUUUGUGACUGUAGAGCUAGAGUACGGUAGAGGGGGAUGGAAUUCCGCGUGUAGCAGUGAAAUGCGUAGAUAUGCGGAGGAACACCGAUGGCGAAGGCAAUCCCCUGGACCUGUACUGACGCUCAUGCACGAAAGCGUGGGGAGCAAACA
rnacentral:rRNA from 1 species